GCUCUGGACGAACGCUUACUGUGUGUGGAACUGGCAGAGACAUCACCGAGCAUCAUCGAAGCGGCCAUUGACGUGGUGGCAUCCAUCGCUCCGUUCCUCAGCUUUCUGCCGCUCGCCAACAGGAUUUGCAUCGAGAUGAAAGAUGCAAGUGGUGUCGCCGAAGUGAUGAAGAAACACAGCUCACAUAAACCCAGCAGUUUGGAGGAACGCACAGUUUGGGAUAAAGUCAAACGUUUUGAGUCUGUGAAGAGCCUAAAAAAGCGUCUGCAGGACUCUGGUCAAACUGUAAUAAU